rnacentral:rRNA from 1 species
ACUCCUACGGGAGGCAGCAGUAGGGAAUCUUCCACAAUGGGCGCAAGCCUGAUGGAGCAACACCGCGUGAGUGAAGAAGGGUUUCGGCUCGUAAAGCUCUGUUGUUAAAGAAGAACACGUAUGAGAGUAACUGUUCAUACGUUGACGGUAUUUAACCAGAAAGUCACGGCUAACUACGUGCCAGCAGCCGCGGUAAUACGUAGGUGGCAAGCGUUAUCCGGAUUUAUUGGGCGUAAAGAGAGUGCAGGCGGUUUUCUAAGUCUGAUGUGAAAGCCUUCGGCUUAACCGGAGAAGUGCAUCGGAAACUGGAUAACUUGAGUGCAGAAGAGGGUAGUGGAACUCCAUGUGUAGCGGUGGAAUGCGUAGAUAUAUGGAAGGACACCAGUGGCGAAGGCGGCUACCUGGUCUGCAACUGACGCUGAGACUCGAAAGCAUGGGUAGCAAACAGGAUUAGAUACCCUGGUAGGUGACAA